UACGUAGGGCGCAAGCGUUGUCCGGAAUUAUUGGGCGUAAAGAGCUCGUAGGCGGCCUGUUGCGUCCGCUGUGAAAUCCCGGGGCUCAACCCCGGGCCUGCAGUGGAUACGGGCUGGCUAGAGGCAGGCAGGGGAGAACGGGAAUUCCUGGUGUAGCGGUGAAAUGCGCAGAUAUCAGGAGGAACACCGGUGGCGAAGGCGGUUCUCUGGGCCUGUACUGACGCUGAGGAGCGAAAGCGUGGGGAGCGAACAGG
rnacentral:rRNA from 1 species